rnacentral:rRNA from 1 species
AGAGUUUGAUCCUGGCUCAGAACGAACGCUGGCGGCAGGCCUAACACAUGCAAGUCGAACGGACUCUUCGGAGUUAGUGGCGCACGGGUGCGGAACACGUGGGAACAUACCCUUUGGUAAGGAAUAAUAUCUGGAAACGGAUACUAAUACCUUAUAAUGACUUCGGUCCAAAGAUUUAUCGCCAAAGGAUUGGCCCGCGCAUGAUUAGUUUGUUGGUGAGGUAAUGGCUCACCAAGACUACGAUCAUUAGCUGGUCUGAGAGGACGAUCAGCCACACUGGAACUGAGACACGGUCCAGACUCCUACGGGAGGCAGCAGUGAGGAAUAUUGCACAAUGGGGGAAACCCUGAUGCAGCCAUGCCGCGUGUAUGAAGAAGGCCUUAGGGUUGUAAAGCUCUUUCAAUAGUGAAGAUAAUGACGGUAGCUAUAGAAGAAGCUCCGGCUAAAUUCGUGCCAGCAGCCGCGGUAAUACGAAUGGAGCAAGCGUUGUUCGGAAUCACUGGGCUUAAAGCGUGCGCAGGCGGAAAAGAAAGUCAGAUGUGAAAUCCCAGGGCUCAACCCUGGAACUGCAUUUGAAACUUCUUUUCUAGAAUCCGGGAGGGGUCAGUAGAAUUACUAGUGUAGAGGUGAAAUUCGCAGAUAUUAGUAGGAAUACCAGUGGCGUAGGCGACUGACUGGACCGGUAUUGACGCUCAUGUACGAAAGCGUGGGGAGCAAACAGGAUUAGAUACCCUGGUAGUCCACGCCGUAAACGAUGUAUGCUAGCUGUUGGGGCCUUAGGCUUCGGUGACGCAGCUAACGCAUUAAGCACUCCGCCUGGGGAGUACGGCCGCAAGGUUAAAACUCAAAGAAAUUGACGGGGACCCGCACAAGCGGUGGAGCAUGUGGUUUAAUUCGAGGCAACGCGAAGAACCUUACCCACACUUAACUAUCCUCUUGGGGCUCCAGAGAUGGACUCCUUCAGUUUGGCUGGCUACCACACAGGUGCUGCAUGGCUGUCGUCAGCUCGUGUCGUGAGAUGUUGGGUUAAGUCCCGCAACGAGCGCAACCCUCAUCCUUAGUUGCCAGCACGUAAUGGUGGGAACUCUAAGGAAACUGCCUGUGAUAAGCAGGAGGAAGGUGGGGACGACGUCAAGUCAUCAUGGCCCUUACGGCCUGGGCUACACACGUGCUACAAUGGCGGUGACAGAGGGUUAACCCCUAAAAACCAUCUCAGUUCGGAUUGUACUCUGCAACUCGAGUCCAUGAAGUUGGAAUCGCUAGUAAUCGUAGAUCAGCAUGCUACGGUGAAUACGUUCCCGGGUCUUGUACACACCGCCCGUCACACCAUGGGAGUUGUCUUUACCUUAAGCCGGUGAGCCAAUCAGGCAGCCGUCCACGGUAGGGGCGGCGACUGGGGUGAAGUCGUAACAAGGUAACC